AUGAACAAGUUCUGAAUAACAUGAAUAAGUUCUGAAUAAUCUAGUGUACAUUUCGAAUAACUAUCAAUUAUGAAUAAGUUAUGAAUAACAUGAAUAUGUUCUGAAUAAAUAUUAUUCAGUAAUGAAUAUCACUCAAUAAGUUCUGAACAAAAAGUUAAAUUAAAUUAAUACAUUACAGAUUUUUAUGAAUGAACAUAUUAUAAAUAAGUGAACAAUAAGUUUAUGAAUAGUUGUUCAAUUCAUUCUGAAGCCACAAAUUCUGUUUGCAUAUCCCUUUCUCGGAUGAGCACCCAUCCCACCUCGAUAACUUUCACUAAACCAAUCAUCUUGUCUUGCUCAUGGAAUCAGACUCUUCCCUACAAAAACAUAAAUCAUCUGAAUAAUGUUGACAUCCAUGUGAAUACAUACGAUAUAACAUCUGAAUAUUAUCAUAUUACUACGCAGCCACAGCUGAGCAAGGCCGCCAGAGUUGGAAAUUACCAAGGCAGCCAGAGCUGACCAAGAAUGUGUAAUUGAAGCUUUACGACUUGUGCAUGGCGGCAGCGGCAACCCGUCUUCUGCCGUUUUCUGAUCAGAAUUCCAUAAAUAAAUGCCAGAAAAAAUGUAAGAAAGAAAACCACAUAUACAUAGAGAGAAGCAGUCAAUCUAUUAUCAAAUUCCAGAAAACAAAAUUUAAUUUGUAAACUGCAAAUGCAAAUAAUAUGAUUGUUGUUAAAUUCAUUAAAAGGGAGGCGAAAAAGGGAGGCGGUGGUUGCUUAUGGUCAGCCACCGUAUGGCCGAAGGAAAGACGAAGAUAGGAGAGGCGUUCUUGUUCGGCUGCUUCGGAUGGCGGCGUUCUAAUCGGACGACCAAAAAUCGAGAGGGGAGGAAUUUAGGGCUUUAGAAAGAGGGAUUUGCAGAUUUUGUGGGUUGCUGGGUUUGGGUUGCGUGAGUGUAGAGAAACCUAUGAAGAAGCUUGCGGUGGUGGUGCGGCAGCGAAGCAGCGAAGUGACGUCGGGAAGCGGCUGGUCGUGGCAGUGCGCACCGAGAGAGGAAGAAAGAGAUGAGGGAGAAAGUUACACUGAAUAUGGUAGGCGUAGAAUGUGGAUGAAAAAUAGGAUAAAUUGUUCCCUCUUGUUCAAAA
rnacentral:lncRNA from 1 species